CGGACGGGUGAGUAAUGUCUGGGAAACUGCCCGAUGGAGGGGGAUAACUACUGGAAACGGUAGCUAAUACCGCAUAACGUCGCAAGACCAAAGAGGGGGACCUUAGGGCCUCUUGCCAUCGGAUGUGCCCAGAUGGGAUUAGCUAGUAGGUGGGGUAAUGGCUCACCUAGGCGACGAUCCCUAGCUGGUCUGAGAGGAUGAUCAGCCACACUGGGAUUGAGACACGGCCCAG
rnacentral:rRNA from 1 species